rnacentral:misc_RNA from 1 species
AGACGGAUAUAAGGCAGGAUAGAACAAUAAAGGCCACCACAUUUUGUGUGUAGUUGAAAGCAAAUACAUUCUGAUUUGUCAAAAGCCCAUCUAAAAAUGGUCCUACUACAAACAAAGUAAUUGAUUGAUAAGGACAAGACUGAUACAGGAGCUGGGUUGAAGAAACCUUGAACUUCUUCUGGAUGGUAUUCGUCAUAAUCUGCGCGAUACAAGUGGUGACAAUUGCAAACAUAGAUAAAACAGAACCCAGUAAAUUGAGCUGCAAAUCAGUUACUGUUGCAAUUCCAACCCCAAAGAGAAGAACGGUAAGUGCAAGCUGGAUAUUCCUACUGAAUUUUUUUCCUGAAGAAAAGAGUCUCCAAAAGAACUGUACAGGGGAUGAUUGCUAAUUUUGUCAUCUGAUAAAAUCCAACAGAAUUGAAUCCCAGGCUUAGAUUAAGAAGUCCAAUAGAGGACCCAUUCAGUAUUCCAAAGCCCAUAACGGCUUUUGGAUCAAAAGGCUUGUGCUCAAAAAAUCUCAUCCAUCUUGCCACAUGGAGCGAACAAAAUGUAACUAAAAGAUGCCAGCUUGUCAAAGUCGUAGCAAAUGUAAAACCUAAUGUGCUAAUUAGCGCCUUAUUGCAAAUUACAAUGGACACAGAAGACACCACCGACAAAGUCAGUGCUCCAAUGGUCCCCAGCUGAAACCUCUGGCUUUCUGUCAUUUUCACUCCUUCUCCAAUUCCAACUUCAAAAUCUUAUCGCAAUCGUGCGUCCAUGAAUCAUACAAAACCAGCUCAGCUGUAAAGCUUCGGAUCACGAAAAUGGACAAAGUGACAAAGGCGCUAAGUGUUCGAUAGAAGUUGAAGCAUUAUUGUUAUUAGAAUUAGAAUGAGAGCGAAGAAAAUUGCACCACUAAUAUUUAUACCUU